GGGGUUCCUGGUGAUGUGAUUU
rnacentral:miRNA from 2 species